CCUACGGGAGGCAGCAGUGGGGAAUAUUGGGCAAUGGGCGCAAGCCUGACCCAGCAAUGCCGCGUGAAGGAAGAAGGCUUUCGGGUUGUAAACUUCUUUGACAGGGGAAGAGCAGAAGCCGGUACCCUGAAAACAAGCCCCGGCUAACUAGGUGCCAGCAGCCGCGGUAAUACGAAGGGGGCAAGCGUUGUCCGGAUUUACUGGGUGUAAAGGGCGUGUAGCCGGGAAGGAAAGUCAGUUGUGAAAUCUGGAGGCUCAACCUCCAAAUUGCAUUUGAAACUGUUUUUCUUGAGUACUGGAGAGGCAGACGGAAUUCCUGGUGUAGCGGUGAAAUGCGUAGAUAUAAGGAGGAACACCAGAGGCGAAGGCGGUCUGCUGGACAGCAACUGACGGUGAGGCGCGAAAGCGUGGGGAGCAAACAGGAUUAGAUACCCUUGUAGUC
rnacentral:rRNA from 1 species